rnacentral:lncRNA from 1 species
AAGCCAACUAAUUCCACAGAGGUAGAGAAGAACCUGGUGAUCAAGUAGCAAUGAGUCCGGUCCCACUAUGCUUCCAUCCUCGUCAGUUUCCAUUACUGUUUGCUGAUAUAUACACCAUGUUGGGGUCAUUGCUGAACCAGCAUCAGAAGAAACCCCAGGACACACAAAAGCUCCCCAGCACAUCCUGGCAAUAGAAGCCACAUUGACCUCCUGAUAGACGUGCUCCAGAGCUGCAGUCUUGCUCACUGCUGCAUCCUCAAAAUAAGGGCAGCAAGACCUGAAGGAGCUGCUGUAGUCAGAUGGGAUUUGGGGACACGCUCACAGGAGCUGGCAGUCAGUAUGGCAAGAGCAAUGGCACUCACCUGGACAGCCCUAGCAACCCUGAGACCUGCUGCUGGAAGAUCUCACGUCACUGGGCUGGAGGAAUGAGCAGGGCCUGCUUCCCUGACUACUCUUCAUCAGUGAUCCUUCACCACAUUCGCAGCGUAGGCAUGCUUUCCAACUCUCUCCAAUUCAGAUCAACCCAUUCAUUUGUGAAAUACUUCUUGAUUCCUAAAGCUUCUAUUACUUUGGAGUUCUUGCAUUACCACAAGCAGUGACAGACUAUUCCACUGUCCUUCUUAAGCAGAUCAUGGUACUACCUACUCCAUGCUACAACUCACAACUGUGUGGUGUAUUAAUUGCUCCUACCUGUAUUAAAACAUCUCCUACAUCACUCAGCUGACAAAAUGCACAGUAUAGAGGCUUGUGCUUGCCUAAAUAGGACUACUUAAACACACCGUUUCUCACUAGCGUGGGCCUCUGGUGAAUGAUAUUCUCACAACUAGUAGCCCUACAGACUUACUACUACAGAUUAAGGAUGUUAAUGUACAAACAACUCAACAUUCACUACCGAGACUUUUAUAUAAAAAUCAGAAAUACAGAACUUUACUACAGCUGAAGAGCAUUUACAGCAGCUCUGCAGAAGGCCAGGUGUUGCAGCAAGGAUGGAGUUUUCAAAACUGAAAAGCUAAGAGCCAUCAGAUGAAAAACUGGGUAAGACCACUGCCGCACAGAAAGCCAGUACUGCCUCGCAGUCCAACCCAAGUCAAAAUAAAGUGGCAACCAUUCAACCAUUCAUCAGCAGUCUAAUGCUUUUUAUUCAUAAAGCAGAGGACUUUGUAUGCUCACUUG